AUUGAACGCUGGCGGUAUGCUUCAGACAUGCAAGUCGAACGGUAACAGCAGAGCUUGCUCUGGCUGACGAGUGGCGGACGGGUGAGUACAACGUAGGAAUCUAUCCAGUAGCUGGGGAUAACUCGAAGAAAUUCGAGCUAAUACCGAAUAAGCACUACGGUGGAAAGAGGGGGAUCUUUUGACCUCUCACUAUUGGCUGAGCCUACGCCGGAUUAGCUUGUUGGUGGGGUAAUGGCCUACCAAGGCAACGAUCCGUAGCUGGUCUGAGAGGACGAUCAGCCACACUGGGACUGAGACACGGCCCAGACUCCUACGGGAGGCAGCAGUCGGGAAUAUUGGACAAUGGGGGCAACCCUGAUCCAGCAAUACCGCGUGUGUGAAGAAGGCCUGCGGGUUGUAAAGCACUUUCAGUAGGGAAGAAAAGCCAUCGGUUAAUACCCGCUUGGUGAGGACGUUACCUACAGAAGAAGCACCGGCUAACUCCG
rnacentral:rRNA from 1 species